rnacentral:rRNA from 1 species
UACGGAGGAUCCAAGCGUUAUCCGGAAUCAUUGGGUUUAAAGGGUCCGUAGGCGGUUUUAUAAGUCAGUGGUGAAAUCCGGCAGCUCAACUGUCGCACUGCCAUUGAUACUGUAGAACUUGAAUUAUUGUGAAGUAACUAGAAUAUGUAGUGUAGCGGUGAAAUGCUUAGAUAUGCGGAGGAACACCGAUGGCGAAGGCAAUCCCCUGGGCCGACACUGACACUGAGAGACGAAAGCUAGGGGAGCGAAUGGG